AGGCCGCACGUGGGAUGCAAAGCGAAACGGCAAAACGAUUGGAUUGUGCCAUUCUGGUGCGAAUUAUCGACGCCCACACACGAAUUUCCAUUGUCGCAACCCGAAACACGAUUGCCGUCCCGCUUUUCUUUUGGCUCCUUUCUCAACAAACCCACCCGGGUUUCAACUUCCGAUCCCGAAUUUUACUUUCCGAGUCCGACCCACUUCUAUACGUUUCGCUCGUCUUCUUCCCUGCAGUUGUCGUUUUCGGGUCUCGGAUCUACUUUCUCGGAAGACCAGUCCGAUAUUUCGGAGUCGGAAAAUCUCGGCGUGUUGGGAAAGCUUCAAUGGCUAUAAACUCAUGCCGUUUUCUUGCUCAAAACAGAGGUGUGCUAUGCAGCGAGUAUUAACAGCUUAUUGUGGAUUAUUCUCAGAAGCUUUUUGACAUUUCCCAAGAUAUGCAGCACAAGGAUAAUCAAGGUUCAGUUCCACCUCGUGCUUCUGAUCCUGGCUGGGCCCAUGGCAUUAUGGUGAAUGGAGGUCGUCAGAAGAUUAAGUGCAAAUACUGCCACAAAGUAAUGCUUGGGGGUGGAAUUUCCAGACUAAAACAGCAUCUGGCUGGGGAAAGGGGGAAUGUAGCUCCAUGCGAGGAGGUACCUGAAGAAGUUAAAAUGAAGAUUCAACAACACCUAGGUUUUAAAGUACUUGAGAAGCUUAAAAAGCAGAAAGGAUUAAACACUAGCAGGGAUUCCGCAUCCUACCAGUAUAGGGAAGAAGAAGACAAUGAAGAUGGAAUGAGAACUCAAAAGAAAGUUUCCACACGAGGCACGCGAAGGAGAAGGGGAAAAGAGGCUACAGAAGGAAUUUCCAAUAAGAAACACAAAAAGCAUUCUUUUCCUGCUGCAACAGCUAAUGUUGCUCAGCCUUUGCAUCAGAGUUUUGCUUCUCAAGAUAUGAUAGAUCAAGCUGAUUUGGCUGUUGCAAGAUUUAUGUAUGAAUCUGGUAUACCAUUCACUGCUGCAAAUUCGCAUUUUUAUCAACAGAUGGCUGAUGCAAUUGCUGCUGUUGGUCCUGGCUAUAAGAUGCCUUCUUAUAAUGCUUUGGGGGGAAAAUUGUUGAACCACAGCGUUCAGGAUGCAGAAGAAUAUGGAGAGGAACUGAGAAGAUCUUGGGAUGUGACUGGGUGUUCAGUCAUGGUUGAUAGGUGGGUGGAUAAAGGUGGUCAUACAGUUAUCAACUUCUUUGUAUACUGCCCCAAGGGCACUGUGUUCCUCAAAUCUGCAGAUGCGUCAGACAUCUCAGAAUGUCCAGAAGCACUUCUUAAUUUAUUUGACGGUGUUGUUCAAGAAGUUGGGCCUCAGAGGAUUGUCAAUUUUGUGACAGAUGCUUCUCCCAGUUGUAAAGCUGCUAGAAAGCUUUUAAUGGAGAAAUAUAAGACCUUUUUCUGCAGUACCUGCGGAGCACAUGGUGUUGACUUAAUGCUUGAGGAAAUUGGGAAAAUGAAUGAAGUUAAAGAGGUCUUGGCAAAGGCAAAAAGAGUAACUCGAUUUGUAUACAACAGUGCUUGGAUGCUUAAUCUGGUAAGGAAGAAAACAGGUGGAAGAGAGAUUGUCCAGCUUGCAACCACAAGGUUUGCUUCUGUCUUCCUUACGCUGCAGAAUAUUGUAGCUCUGAAGCACCAGCUCCAACAAAUAUUUACCACUGCUGCUUGGAUGCAGUCAAAUUUCUCUAAGCAAAGGGCUGGACUAGAGGUAGCAGAGAUUGUUGCAGACCAACUUUUCUGGUCACUGUGUGAUCAAACUCUGAAGGUGACAAAGCACCUACUCUCGGUUUUUCAUCUUAUGGAUUGUGAGGAGAAACCAUCUAUUGGUUACUUAUACGAUGCAAUUGAAAAGGCAAAGAAAAGUGUAAUUGUGGCAUUUGACAAUAAUGAACCUGAUUACUUGCCAUAUUUGAAGGUUAUUGAUCACGUUUGGCAAGAGGAGCUCCAUAGCCCACUUCAUGCAGCUGCAUGCUAUCUCAACCCGUCUAUAUUUUAUAGCCCUACCUUUUCUACUAAAAAAGUCAUCCAGAAGGGAUUGCUUGACUGUAUUGAAACCAUAGAGCCUAACUUAACAGCUCAAGUUGUGAUUACAAGCAACAUAAAUUUCUAUGAGGAAGCUGUAGGGGAUUUUGGUCGACCCGUGGCUUUACGAUGUCGAGAAUCAUUGGCCCCAGCUACUUGGUGGUCCCUGUAUGGAGCUGAUUACCCUGAUCUCCAACGGUUAGCUGUCAGGAUACUAAGUCAAACUUGCAGCAUUAUCCGGUCUAAGAGGAGUGGGAGCAUAUUUGAACGUAUGUAUUCAAAGAAAAGGAACCGAUUGGAGCAACAGAGGUUGAACGACCUUGUAUUUGUUCAUCAUAACUUGCACCUUCAACAUAUGCGUUCUGAAGCAAGUAAAGGCGUAUAUACAAGAGGUACCCUGGAUCCAAUAUGUUUAGAAGCUAUGGAUUCCAACAUUGAAGAUUGGGUGGAAGACCUGGGAGAUACUGGCAGCGAUGAGUUAAGGUGGAUGGAUGUGAUGGUCCCUGGUGAGUGGAAAGUUUUGAAUCAUAGAGUACAGAGUACCAACGAUUGUAAUGACAGUACAGAUGACAGAGGUAGUGAUGAUGGGAGAGAAUAUAAUUCUGGGGUGAAAAAAGGAGGGAAAGGGGAGUUCUCACUUGGUACAAGAACUUGAUGGAUCAACCUGGCUUACGAAUGUAAUGAAGGUCUCCAGCCUCUAGGCAGGAAGAGAGCAAAAUCUUCAUUUUAAAAAGCUUCCCUUUUCCGUCCUGCCAAACAACUCUUCGGUGGUAAGAGAUUAAAUUUUAAAGGGAAAUUUCAAUCUUCCUUGUUUGGUGUGUAGAUGCACUUUUUCUUCUUUGGAAGGAAAACACAGCGUAGAUUUUUACAGGUUAGAUUUGUUCUUCCAGUUUCACUCAAUUCUGGUACAUGCUUUGAUAACAUAAAACACCUAAAUGCUAAACAAAAAGUCAGCCCUAAACAGAAAGUCUUCUGGGGCUGAAGGUUAUCGUUUUCGGUUUUAAAGUAAAAAGUAACUUCUCAGGCAAAAAUAUCGAUUCAAAGAUAAAACGUUGGGGCAGGGUUUUCUCAUUGCUGCUACUGAAAUUUUCCUCAGUUUAGCCAGGCUAAGUAGACUACCUUGGAUUUUCUAUUUUUUCCUUGUUCUGUAAAUUAAAGCAGCGAGGCGCUCCUACUUUCCAUGGCAGAAGUUGGCAUACAGUUAGUUUCAAUUUUCAUGUUUAUGGUCAUUGGUCUUCCAAGGACACAGAGAAAUUAACUUCCGCAGUUUACUGAAAAAAUUGAUGGCCAUUGACUGGAUAAACGGAAAACUAUAAUGGUCGAGGAUGGGAGAGGACUACAUCUUGGAGGGACCUAUCUCUCUACACAUGGCAGCUUUGAACUCAUCAAAGGUAACUUUUCCAUCACUGUUUGCAUCCAUCCGAUCAAAUAUUUCAUUCAAUUUACCAGGUUCGGUGAUAUCAGCUGGAAGGCAGUCAUCUGGCAAAAGCCUCUUCAAUGUAGUUUUAUUUGGUCAUAAUCUUAUUUGAAAACAACCAAACAAUUAGGAUAAACCAUGUAAGGUGAUAGGGGAUGAGACAUUACCCUGAGCAUCGAUGCUAAUUCUUCUUUGCUGAUGCAACCAGACGGAUCCGUAUCAAACAUAUGGGUGUGAAACAAAAUAGUGGGACAAAUAGAAUAGGGAUAAUGACAGUGAAUUAGGAGUAGACAUUAUGGAUGGUAAAAGCUAUAUGACGUUUGAUUAGUAGUAGUUUCUUUAAUUUAGUGAGCAAGGUUUGAUUUUCUCAGGAAUCUUUAUAGUCCAAAUUAGUUUGGUUAGACUCUUGGAGUGAGUUUUUGUUAUGUAGUGGAACUAACUGAAAAUACAGGAGAGUGCACUUGGAAGCACAGGCGGAGAGCAUCGUCUCCUUGUCAGUUCUUGAGACUAGAGAAUCCAGACAGUAUCUCUCACAUGUCAACGGUGCCAUCGCGAUUUUUGUCGAAUAGGUAAAAGAUUCUGGGUAUUUUGAGGGAUUAGAGACGACAUUUUCAUUGUUUUCAGCAACUCCUCAAAUUCUGAAAAAGUAGCAUUGUCACCUUUUACACAUCUGCACAUUGCCAAAUUGGAAUUUAUAAAACAUUGGAUUACCAGAUAACUUAGCAAAGGGCUCUUGCCAGUGUAAUUUUAUGAUUGCUUAAACAGAAUAAGCUUCUCAUUAAACUGAAUUAUGUAGCUAUGGGAUACAUAUAACUGCUAUAUAUGCAAGUUUUAACCAGAAACUGGAUGCUGAGUACUGAUGAUUCUCUCUGUCUGACCUACAAUUUUACACCACAUUCGCAGAUAAUUAGUUGUGCAAAAUGUGCUUAACUAGUCUCAUUUUCUUAAAAUGUAAACUCAGAUUCUUGAUUUCGUCUGGUUUAAGGUCAUGGGAUCCUAGCAAUGAUUUUUGCUUCUUUGUUCUUAAGAACAUCGAGCUUGUCUGCACGUUUUCUAUUGCUGCUGCACGGAGUUUGCACCAAGCAUUAAACCUCUGCAGUCGUGAUACAAUCUCAGCAUCCAUUUGAUCCUAUCUGGUUGAAAGACUGACAACCCAUGGAUGGUUCUAAAUUAGUUAGGCUAACAAAUCUAGGAGACUGCAUUUUGGUGCUACCAAGAACUACUCAAUAAGAGUUCAUUUAGUUGCUAUAUAGCUCAGACUGAUAUCAACGUUUUGUCGAUAUUUUCAUUGUGUUUGUUGAUGCUUGAUCUCUUCUCUUGCUUACAAUUACAAGCCUACCUCUUGAGCACUAGGUCUCUUGUCAUGGUCGACUUUGAGGAGGUCCGAAAUCAAUUGUUUGCUGACAAAGAAAUAACCUUCCAGGUUUUCUCAUGGAAACUGAAUGCUCCCUGCAGGACAAGAAGCAUUUUCUCGUUAUUUGAACAGAACUUUUGACAAAAGCAAAUCAUUUUAAUUUCUGUCUUCUAGUAGAAUGUCAAUGCUAAUUACUUACAGGCAUAAUCAUCUGUUGCUUUUGCUGAUUCGACUGGGAAAUAAAAGAAAAUGAAGAAAAAAAAUAUGAACAUACCUGGAGAAAGAGCCCACAUGUCGCUCUUAGAAGUGACCAGUCCCUGAGAAAGAGCCUCUGGUGACAGGGAACCAAACAGUCCCACAGCAGGGUCGGUGAACUCCUCCACAGAACUCAGCCUAAAAUCCAUAAUCUUCAGCGGAGAAUUGUUGGUGUUGUUCAAGAAGAGGCACAUUUCUGGCUUCAAGUCCCGGUGAACAAUAUUCGAGCUGUGAAGAGCUGCCAAGCCUUGUGCAGUCUGCCUCACCACAGCUGCAGCUCCAGCCUCACAAUACCUUUCUUGCUUCACAAUCCUAUUCCUAUCACACAGUUCCCCUCCUGAACAGAGCUCCAGCACAAGGUGGACCCCAGUCUUAUCCUCGUACUCAUCGGGCAAGUCAAUCACAUUCUGGUGCGGUGACACAUUCUCAACAAUCUUCCUCAUCAUCAUGAUUUCAUUAGUGAGCAGCACAUUUGAUAUGGACACCUGCUUCCAUGUUUGGAAAGCGGCAGCAGCAAAGCUUUUCUGGUCAUUGCCCCGGGUGUGGGGGCGGAGAAGGAAGGUUUGUGGGUGCAGACAGCCUUUUGAGUGUUUUGGUUGCCACAUUGUUCUUGUCACUGCUACUGCCUGACUUUCUGCUGAUGCCUUUCCUGACCACAGAAUCCUCCUUUGCCUAAAAUCUCUGAUAUUUUUCAUGCUUAUCUGCAUGUCUUCUUGUUUCUUGCCCAAUGAUUAGGACAACGAUUACGAUGAUGACCAAGACAAACAAACCUUUGAUGAGAUGGAACUGGCAAAGCACCCAACCAAGAGGGAUUAAUAGAAUUAUAUGGCUGAAUUAUUUCUAAAA